GUCGAGCGGUAACAGAUCCAGCUUGCUGGAUGCUGACGAGCGGCGGACGGGUGAGUAAUGCAUAGGAAUCUGCCCGGUAGUGGGGGAUAACCUGGGGAAACCCAGGCUAAUACCGCAUACGUCCUACGGGAGAAAGGGGGCUUCGGCUCCCGCUAUCGGAUGAGCCUAUGUCGGAUUAGCUAGUUGGUGAGGUAACGGCUCACCAAGGCCACGAUCCGUAGCUGGUCUGAGAGGAUGAUCAGCCACAUCGGGACUGAGACACGGCCCGAACUCCUACGGGAGGCAGCAGUGGGGAAUAUUGGACAAUGGGGGGAACCCUGAUCCAGCCAUGCCGCGUGUGUGAAGAAGGCCCUCGGGUUGUAAAGCACUUUCAGCGAGGAAGAACGCCUAGCGGUUAAUACCCGCUAGGAAAGACAUCACUCGCAGAAGAAGCACCGGCUAACUCCGUGCCAGCAGCCGCGGUAAUACGGAGGGUGCAAGCGUUAAUCGGAAUUACUGGGCGUAAAGCGCGCGUAGGUGGCUUGAUAAGCCGGUUGUGAAAGCCCCGGGCUCAACCUGGGAACGGCAUCCGGAACUGUCAAGCUAGAGUGCAGGAGAGGAAGGUAGAAUUCCCGGUGUAGCGGUGAAAUGCGUAGAGAUCGGGAGGAAUACCAGUGGCGAAGCGGCCUUCUGGACUGACACUGACACUG
rnacentral:rRNA from 1 species